AUGGACCUCAAAGCUGGAUUUCACCAGAUCAGGUUAGCUCCAGGGGAAGAGUACAAAACUGCAUUUCAAACACACCAUGGCCACUUUGAGUUCCUGGUAGUUGCCAUGGGCUUGACUGGAGCUCCAGCAACAUUUCAGGGCACUAUAAACUUUGAUCUGUCCCCUGUGCUCAGGAAGUGUGUACUGUGUUUCUUUGAUGACAUACUAGUUUUCAGCAAAACAUUUGAGGAGCACUUGGAACAUGUUGCUCAGGUUCUGACAAUUCUGAAAGAGAAGGAAUGGAAAGUUAAGAUGUCCAAGUGUGCAUUUGCUCAACAG
rnacentral:rRNA from 1 species